rnacentral:rRNA from 1 species
GACGAACGCUGGCGGCGUGCUUAACACAUGCAAGUCGAACGGUGAAGCCCUUCGGGGUGGAUCAGUGGCGAACGGGUGAGUAACACGUGAGCAACCUGCCCCUGGCUCUGGGACAACCACUGGAAACGGUGGCUAAUACCGGAUACGACCCGCCUCGGCAUCGAGUGUGGGUGGAAAGUUUUUCGGCUGGGGAUGGGCUCGCGGCCUAUCAGCUUGUUGGUGAGGUGAAGGCUCACCAAGGCGACGACGGGUAGCCGGCCUGAGAGGGCGACCGGCUACACUGGGACUGAGACACGGCCCAGACUCCUACGGGAGGCAGCAGUGGGGAAUAUUGCACAAUGGGCGAAAGCCUGAUGCAGCGACGCCGCGUGAGGGAUGACGGCCUUCGGGUUGUAAACCUCUUUCAGCUCCGAAGAAGCGAAAGUGACGGUAGGAGCAGAAGAAGCACCGGCUAACUACGUG